GUUUGUCCGAAGUCUUAAAGUAUAUCAAGUAAAUACCCAAAGGUUGGAAAGAGAAAAGCCUUGUGAUUUGAUUACUAGGAAGUUGUUGUGCAUAGUACAUCCUUCACGGAAAAUUCUUAAGAAAGUUGCAGUCAAAGUUGAAUCAGGUGAAGACUGAUGCAGAUGUGUUUCUUCAGGUAAUUGAUUAGUCUACUUUUCAUUUGGGAGACCAAGGUUUCUCCUUUAAUAACCGAAACUACAGUGACCACAGAAUUUUGUACUACUUUUUUACAAUAAAUUGACUAUGGACUUUCCUCCAUAAGUAGAGAGGCUGUUUUGAUAUUUGAACUUGUGAUCUAGCAAAAACUUUACCACUCCA